rnacentral:rRNA from 1 species
UACGUAGGAUGCAAGCGUUGUCCGGAAUUAUUGGGCGUAAAGAGCUCGUAGGCGGUUCGGUAAGUCAGCUGUGAAAUCUCCACGCUCAACGUGGAGGGGUCAGUUGAUACUGCCGUGACUUGAGUCUGGUAGGGGAGUGCGGAAUUCCCGGUGUAGCGGUGAAAUGCGCAGAUAUCGGGAGGAACACCAGUGGCGAAGGCGGCACUCUGGGCCAGUACUGACGCUGAGGAGCGAAAGCGUGGGGAGCGAACAGG